AUCUGAUGCGAUUUCUUUACAUCUUCAGUUAAAUCAAUCUUCUGAACUGGGACUCAGGUCUUUCAAGUUAGUUGGAUUUUCGUCCAAUUGAAACUUUGUCAAAUGACUUGGGACUCGCUUUUUGCAAUAUUGUGAACAGUCAAAAUGAUUGUGCUCCUUUGUCACUGUCAAUAGAUAAUAUGCACUUUUUUUUGUUCUAAAUUUCUUUUUAUAGGUUGCUUUGAUAAGGUCAGCCUGUAUAUUGAACCAGACUGCUGGUUUCAGGGCAUUGUGCUGCAUUACUGACGAUCUUGUGAUUGCUGAUUCUGUGAUACAUUUAUAGUCCUAAUCUUUUGUUCAAACACUUGUUGCAGCACUGGUCAAAAAUACAUAUACACUGGAUCUGGUGACUCUUCUGUGCGCAUAUAUGAUCUGAUGAGUGGAGCUGAAGUUGCAAGACUUGAAUUUCAUGAAGGACCUGUAAGAGAUUGUAGUUGGCAUCCUUCCUACCCAAUGCUCGUAAGCUCUUCCUGGGACGGUACUAUUGCCAGGUGGGAAUUUCCAGGUUAAGGUAACCCAGCUUCUACACCAGAGAGGAGACCAAGUAGGAGGGAGGGUUUUCUAGGUAGGCUGAUAAAUAAUCAUCUACAAAGCUCGGCAAAGGAAAAGAAAAGAAAUUCUGAUAUGUUGGUACUAUGUUAUUCUUAAGGUGGUUAUCCGAUUUUUUGUUGCGGAUAUAUAGCUUGUUCUGCCAUUUAUAGACAAAUUUGAAAGGGUUUCCAUCUUUUUAUUAGCAGACUCAUUGCUGUACAUAUACCAUAGGAAAUGGGGAAUGUUUAUGAAUUUUAUUUUGGCCUAAAUUAUACCUAGUUGCUCAUUUUUCUUC